rnacentral:lncRNA from 1 species
GCUAGAUGAUCAAAUGUUUACACAACUCAAUAGGCCGAUUGAGUACACAUAGAGAUCUACUAGAACUCUAUAUUAUAAUAUCAACACAAGCUAAGCCAAACUAAUUUCUACACACAUGAAUUACAUCUAAUUAAUCUGAUAUUGUACUACUUAACAAUCCAGUCUAGAAUUAUUACAGAGUUUAAUUACAAUAAACAAGCAAAUGUGGCAGGGCAAUUAAAAUCACAAAGCCACAGUGGGAAGUUAUCCUUAAUUUCAUUUCAUAUCUCAACAGAUGAAGCUACAUCAAUGGAGUCUCGAGAUGUGUACCUGAAUGUCGAAAUACAAGAAGAAUAAGAAGAAGAUCAGCUAUAAUAGCAGAUUCCAGCAGAAUAAUUUGCAAACAGCAGGAAACACAGCAAGUUCAGCCCAAAAACGAGUUCAACAGGCGAAGGAUAAUUCCAAACCAAACUGAAGCCAACAAAAUAGUCGAAAUCAACUUGAACAAAACCCAAGUGAUUUCGAAUUCAAACCCAUAAAUACCUCUAAAACCCCAACAACUAAAAUAAACCAGAAUAGCUUGAAUAAAUUCAAAAAACAGCUUGAAACUGAACUCAAUGUCACCAAGAACUCAGAUUCUUAAUUGACAGUGCAGAAAUUUCAAUGUAAUAGUGUAUUUUUGGAGUUUUUUGUAUUGUUUCUAUUUAUUUUUUAAGUUUUUGAAGAUUUGGAGUUUUGAAAUUCAAAUUUCAGUUGGAAAGACUUAGAGAAUAUCUAGAGGAAUUUUCAGAUCUAUGUGCUUGUAGGGAGUUUCGGGGAGGAAAUUUUGGGCUCCAAAAACUUGUUCAUUAAGGCAUUGGUGAUGCCCUUUUAUAGGCAAAUAUGAGGGCAACCCUCAAUUUCCUGUUUACAAAUCAGUCCCUUAUUUAUUUUCACAAUAGUCCUCUACUUAUUGACUUGAAAUUGCACCUAUUUUCUGAAUUUAGAGUAAAGUCCUAUUUUAGAAGGUUCCAGUGAAUUCAGAACAAUUUUAAAAGAUUCCCUUAUCCCCGAAUUUCCCCAAUUAUCCCUAUUUUAUCCUAAGAUUUACUAAAGUAAUCCAAAUGAAUUUAGCCUCAUUUUACCCUAGUUAAACAUAUCCACUAUAGGCAAUUUUAUCUGAUUAACAACUUAAUUGCACUGAGUAUUACUGAUUGUCCUAACUAACUAAACCGAAUUAGCUACAAUCAAUUGAUAACAACCAAAGAGGUACUAAGAUCAUAUUAAAGUUUAAGCAAAUUCAAACAAGAUUGACUAAAACAGAUCAAACAAGAAAAAUAAUCUAGUAUUCAAACUAUUAGAUUCCCAAAUCUACAAACGACUCUAACCUACAAAUUGCAUCAGAACAGAAUCACAACAAGACAUUUGAUAAAAGAAGGACUAAGCAGAGGUAGAAAUACUAAUCGUUUUGUUAAACCAUAUAUCUGUUGCGACCAAAGCACUCACGCAAGUGUACACGAUCGACAACUAAUAUAGUAGUAAGUAAUGUAUCGUUUCCACGAGGAAUUGUGAUAAAAUUCUCGACUGAUGUAGACUCAAUUAAUUAUCAAUUCAAGCUAAAUUAUCACAAGAUAUUUAAAAAUCCAAUUUACAACUUACUUAAUAAUUGCACAAUAAUUCAACACGAAAGUACUACACCAAGUUCACAAUAUGUUUAUAACAAUUUUUAUAAAGAUAUUCCAGGGUCAUGUAUUUGUUAGAGAUCAUGCUACUAUCUUAGCUUAAAAUUAAUUUAUUGAAUUAUCGGGGUUAUUGAUUAUAGGGUUAAUAAUAUUCAUAGGAAUCUUUCGAGUUCUUAUGCGUCUAUUCAAAUUAAAUUAAUACCUAUAUGUCUAUGGUAUUAAUAUUAACAAGAAUGCAUGUACAACUCCUAUUUUUCAACCAAACAAGGCAAUUAAGUAUAUGUCUAUCUUAAUCGCAAAUCCUUCACUCGAUGCCCAGGAUUCAUAUAACCAGGCAUCCACCGUGAACUUAUAAAUUGUACCCCUAACAAGGCAUCUAGUCUGUCGUUAUGCUUCUUUGGUGGGGAUACAAAGAUAUCCAGGCCAAGUAAUAAAUUUUUCACUCGACACUUCUCAGCGUUUGGAUUAGGAAUAUAAUUUUUGCUUUUUGGAACAACAAAUUCAAGAAUAUAGAUACUUUCAUCCUCACUCUUUGACUUUUUCAUAGGCAGAGAUGGCUCGAUUACUAUCUUACUAUCUAAACACAAUGUGGAAAAAUGAUUGGAAUGAGGUCUAAUGCGCCAUAACUCAUGAAUUUUACUACUAUUUACAUCCCCAUUUAUACAAACACUCAAUUCUUCUAAAGUAAUGUUAUCUACUCCCUCACAUGACUCUAGAGCACUCUUCUUAAUAUGGACAUCCUAAAAAAAAUAUGAUCUAAUGAUUGGUAUUCUUGUUUUAGCUCCUCUAUUUGGUCUAGAAGAUUUUUUCCAGCAUCAUACAACCCAUCAUUAAAUUGUUGGGCAUUACACGCAUCAACCUUUGCACUCAAAUCUGAAUCCAAGUUAUGCACAACCAAGUCAAAAUAUCAUUUUUUUGUGCAAGCUCAUCUCUCUCCUUAGACCAAUCUUUCAUCAUCGUUGUUAGUAAAGUACCACUUUUAUGUGCAAUUUCAUCUCUUUUCUUAGACCAAUCAUUCACCAACGUUGUCAGAAGACAACGUCGUUCCGCAUGUUGGCCUAAUCGAGAAUAUGCAUCCCAAUACCAACCCUUACUCCCAUAUUCAAAUUCAUACCUCCCAGAGUCAAAGUCAUGACAAGCCCAAAAUGACGGACCAUAAAAGACUUCCGUCAAUUAAUUAUCAAUUCAAGCUAAAUUAUCACAAGAUAUUUAAAAAUCCAAUUUACAACUUACUUAAUAAUUACACAAUAAUUCAACACGAAAUUACUACACCAAGUUCACAAUAUGUUUAUAACAAUUUUUAUAAAGAUAUUUCAGGUUCAUGGAUUAUAUAGAGAUCAUGAUACUAUUUUAGCUUAAAAUUGAUUUAUUGAAUUAUCGAGGUUAUUGAUUAUAGGGUUAAUAAUAUUCAUAAGAAUCUUUCGAGUUCUUAUGCGUCUAUUCAAGUUAAAUCAAUACCUAUAUGUCUAUGGUAUUAAUAUUAGCAAGAAUUCAUGUACAACUCCUAUUUUUCAAUCAAACAAGGCAAUUAAGUAUAUGUCUAUCUUAAUCGCAAAUCCUUCACCUGAUGCCCAGGAUUCAGAUCUUGUUCUAUCUGAUUCUAUAUGCAAUCAAGAAUUUCCUUUGUCAAGUUUAACUCAAUAUUCGUAAAUAGUAUUUUAUUUUUAGCUACGCAGUAAAAUAAUUAAAAGUAGAAUAAAAUAAACAACCCAUAUCGAUAUAUUCAAGAUCUUCAAUCUAAGCUUCAAAUAACAUGAUCAUCUAACACCUAUGACCCCAGAAUAUUUAAGUUUUAGCUAUUCAUGUUCAUACAAAAAUCAAAAAGAAAUAUCUGAAACAUAAUAUAAGUAAAUACUAGAAGAAAGUUGACAAGAACUCUUUGAAUCCUUGCUCCAAGUUGAUGUUCUUCUUGAUUUUUUUCUCUCCAAGAUGAGUCUUCGCCUUCUAUUUCUCUCUAAAAUCAGAUCUGGUCUCAUUAAUGGAGCUUUACUUUAUAUAAGUUGAGUGUAUCCCUCAGAUUUCCCAUUUUUCCCCCAAAUAAUUGAUUUUCGGGACUCUCUCUGUCUUGGCCGCGCAUCUGACUAGCACGGCCGUGCUAGUCCAGUGAUUAUGACCGCGCUAGUCAGAAUUUGGUAAAAUUCAAAACACCAAAGUUUUAGCCCUUUUAAAUAGCUUUGCAUCAAUACAUUAUGGAGCCCAAACGGAGUUUUGAGUAAAUAGCUAUGGCCAUUUUACUCAACUUGGUUCCAACUUGAUUUAUUUAGCUUUUACUCAGACUUCAAAGCCUCAAAUUACUCAAAUUCAUCCCGAAUUAAUUCUUAAGUUGGAUACUCUUUCUGCAAGGCAUAAAUCCUGAGUUUAGUACAAUUCAUAAUUAUUUAGCUCAAACAUUUAUAAAAUAUAGUAAUUAAAGUGUUGUUACAACGUUUCAUUUCGAAUUAAUUCUUAAGUUGGAAACUCUUCCUGCAAGGCAUACAUCAUGAAUUUAGUACAAUUCAUAAUCAUUUAAGCUCAAACAUUUAUAAAAUAUAGUAACUAAAGUAUUGUUACAACGACUAAAACACGAGUUUUUAGCCUAUGAUCAGUAUCAGAACAGAAUCACAACAAGAGACAUUUGAUAAAAGAAGGACUAAGCAAAGGCAGAAAUACUAAUAAUUUUAUUAAACCAUACUAAUCAAACUAUAUGACUGAACAUGCAACAAUUAAAACCUAAAAUCUAUAUUGACCCAAAUAGACCCAGAUGAACACAAACUAAUCCUCAAUGAAUGGCUCUCAAAAUCAAUAUGAAAUCUUAACUCAAACUUACGCAUGAAGGAAGAGAAGGAAAUGAACAGAAUAAAGAACUCACCAAUAAACUCGACCUCACAUCUUCAAGCUCGGACACGGCCUAAGCAACUACUCGACUUAAGGUCCUCCUGUCCCUAGAUUUAAGGCCCGUGGGAUUCUGCAUGGAUUUGAGGGAUUCCAAUCUUUAAAUUCGUUACGAGGAGGUUUGAGAGGGCUCGAAGUGUGAAUUUUGAACCCUUUUGAAGACUUCAAGCUUUUCAGCAGUUUGACCGUAUUUUCGAUCUGGUAUUUGAGAUGUUUGGUUCUGAUUCGAAGAAUAUUAAGGGUGGAUUUGGGGAGAGCAGAAGGAGGGGGCAUGGUGAUGUAAAUUAUGGGCCGUUUGGGCGGUGUCGCCGUUGUGGGUGGAGGAGACGGCGACAACUAAUUCGACCAUUCGAAGGUCUGUGGUGGGAUUCGAAGGGAGGUGAUGGCAGAUUCGUGAAGAGGAUGUCAAAGCGGUAUAGGGGUGUGAUUUUGGGGGUCAAUGGCGAAGGUGGUGUCUUCGUCGGCGGCGGAACAUGGUGGUGGCUAGAAAUAGAGAAAGGGGUACGAUGAAGAAGACUUGGUCGUUUAGGGAUAAGAGGGGAUUCAGACAUUUUUAUGAAAGAUGGGGGAAGAAUUCUGGGCUGUUGGAUUAAAAAUAUUUAACAUCUCAGAUGGGCGGGUAGCAAAACAAUGUCAUGUUGUUUUGAGGGUGGACUGGACCGUGUGAGGAGUGUUGGGCCUGGGCGUGUGUGUAUGGAUAUGGGCACUAAUUAUUGGGCCAUCAGAAUUGAAUAGGCAAUGGCCUAACUCGUGGGUCUUUUAACAAGGCAAUCUUUUCCCUUUUAUUUUAUCUCUUUUUUUCUUUAUUUUUGUAUUUAUAUUACUUUUAGCUUUUGUUAAAAUGAAAACAAAUAAAAUCAAUGGGUCUUUUAACAAGGCAAACAUUUCCCAUUUAUUUUAUCUCUUUUUUUCCUUUCUUUUUGUAUUUAUAUUAUUUUAGUUUUUAUUAAAAUUACAACAAAUAAAACCAAAGACCCAAUUGACUCUAAUAUGAUAUUUAAUUUUCAAAAUCAUCUAAUUUCUAAUUUUAAACUAAAAUUAAUAUAAAUUCCAUAAAUUAAAAUAAAAAUGCAAAGAAUUAUUUUUGUCAUUUUCUUUGUACGUAAAUAAUUUUACUACUAAUCAAAUACUAAAAAUGUGAAAUUAACUCCCAAACAAAUGCCAAAUAUAUUUUUGUAUUUUCAUAUGAAUUAAAAUACACAAAUAAAAAUGCAACAAUUACUAGAAAAUAACCCAAAAAUUGUAAAACAAUAAAGAAAUUGUUUUUCUUUUUGAAUUUUUGGGAAUUAUUUCAUAUAUAGGGCAAAAAUCUUGUGCUCACAGCUGCCCCUAUUUGCUCAGAAAUACGAAAAGUUUUUGUGCAAAGAUAAAUGACCAGAAACGAGCGAUUUUUGCCCGUCCGAAUAUUCCUUGUGAAGCAUUUUUGAAAGAGUUGACCGCACCCUGCUUCGGAGGUUGUCUACAUAUCCUGGGCUAAACAGGAAUCAGGUCAGUGUAGUUCGGGAGUGUCCGGUAGCUGGGACUACCAGGAGCUGUGAUUUCGCUGCGAUUUCACUGUGAUUGUUGCUGCUACUGCUCGCUCUCCUUCCUUAUUACACCAUGGAAAAAUAAAAGAAGCUAGACUAAGCUGUGAACUGUAAAUUACUAGAUCAUGUCUAAAUUCUUCAAACUUGUUCUUAUACUUCCUUGUUGUCUUAUAUUCUCUUCGUGAAGUCCAUUGUUGUUACUUCAACUUGUAAACUGAGAUGUUGUUCCUUGUCUUUAAAUUGCUGAACUUGAAUAAACUUGAACUUGAAUGUAUUCCUCUGUUAUAUGGGCGGGCUCCCAACUUCACAAAAAUAGACAAAACAAAAUUUUCUGCCCCAUGGAAAACUGGGUGGUUAUUACCAUAUACUAAUAAGAACUGAAAACUAAAACUUGAAUUGUGAUAAGGCUGAAGUGUAACUUUAAAAUUUAAAGACUGAAAUGUAUUCUCUUUUUAUAUAGGUGGGUUCCCAAUGUCAAAACUUAAAAUUUAAAGAAUGAAAUUUAUUCCCUUGUUAUAUGGGCGGGCUCCCAACUAUAAAACUUAAAAUUUAAAGACUGAAAUGUAUUCCCUUGGUAUAUGGGCGGGCUCCCAACUUUAAAACUUAAAAUUUAAAGACUGAAAUGUAUUUUGAACUUCAACUAAACCACAUUCCUCAGAAGUUUACGGUCAAACCUGUUUUGGCGCUUGCUUUUUCCAUGCGGGGAGUUUCCCGAAAUAGAUGAAAUUUCUGCCCUUGUUUCAAUCAAGAAAAAUCUUGUUAGUUUAAAGUAGUGGUUGGUUUGUGGCCUUGAACUUUGCGGUGAUUUUUGCUUCACUUUCCAUGAAGCUUGGUUUCCACUCGAAGACCUUGCUUGUUUAUGAACCAACCCCUUUUCUGUCGCCCUCAUCACAUAAAGUGCACAUGGCAUUGGCGUGAACUGGCCUCUCCCAAACCUUUGCCUUUCACAUGAAUCCCACAGCAGGUCCAUUGCCCCUACUCCGUGUAUACGUUGUUCUUCCUUGACUUAACUGAUGGCCUUGGCCUUGAGGUUCGUUGCUCCUUUACUUGUCAUGAUGACUUUCAUUUCCUUUCGAAGACCCCGCUUGUUUCUUUCCUAACCACUUCGGGUGUCAUCCUUAGCACAGAACACACCUCAUCUUCAUUCAAAACCCUAUCCCUAUACCUUCUGUUUGUUGCACUGCUUAGAAUUUAACCAACCUUGUUCCUCACGUGAACCCCAAAGCAUAUUGAUUACCACCCACAGUAUGUCAUUCUUCUACAUUGAACCCCUGGGCCCCUCGACCUUGAGGUGUAUUGCUCCUUCGCUUUCCAUGACAUCUUUGAUCUCACCUCAAAAGACAUUGCUUGCGUAUUGACUAACAACCUUCUAUGUCAUCUUUGCCCUAGAAAAUACCUCUUCUCCAUUCAAAUCCAAUACCCUCUAUCCGUUGCAUUUCUUAUGAACCGACAUCUACCACCCUUUGUGCUUCACCAGGAUCCCCAAAUCAUGUUGAUUAUUACCAGUCCAGUGCUAUUGUUGUUUUUCUUGACUUGUGCCACUUGAUAUGCUAGCCAAACCCCCAGUUUAUGCAAUUGGAAAGAUAGUGGCAAAUUUUAAAAUCAUUUCUCACUUUUUAUAAUCAAACAGACUCAGAAAGAGGAAGUGAAUAAAAAUAGAUGAACGGAGUGAAGGACAAAGGAAAGAGAUGAUUCCUAAAGAGAAAACUACGAAGUAGAAACCUAUAAAAGGUGGCUACCGACUCAAAUGACCAUGACAUGCAUCUGUAUAUAUUUUUUCAAUCAAUCCCGACGUUCAACUCUUGUUGUACCUUUCACUGUGAAACUGGACUUAAAUGCUCCGCUUAUCCAAUUUGAUUCGCUUUUCUUAUUCGACUUGUGGCGCCCAAAGGGUUUUCACUAUCAAGCCUCUCUCAUUUUGUUUUUUCUCUCAAUUUACUGUCGCCUCAAGGUGCCCGUGAAGGUCUUCACCAAUAAGACUCUCUCAUUUUUCUUUUCUCUCCACUUUCAUCGCCUUGCGGUACCCGUGAGGGUUUUCAUCAAUCUGGCUCUCUCAUUUUCAUUUUCCUUGUUUGGAUCAGAGUGUUGCCCCAGACAUAAAUUACCUUUACCUGCUUGACUUGGCAUUUCUCAAAGUCUGAUCAAAACGUCUUUCUUUGGACCGUAAUGUGGCUUUUGGACAGGGUUAAAAAAGGUAUGAAGGCUCAAAAACAAAUUAAAAAUGGGUUAAAAUUAAAACUUUCAGAAUCCAAUUUCUCAAAACAGCCACAAUUUCUGCCCUAGUGUUUUGCUUAGGGAUUUUUGGAUUUUUAUUUUGGCAUGACUGAACCUCAGAGAGGCUGCCUAUAUACCCUUCCGAGAUCAAGUCAAACGUAGUUCACGUCAUAAAAAUUACUUUUGUUGUGAUUUUCUUUCUCUUAUCUUCUUUUCUUCUAUCCUUUUUCAUUUUUCAUUUAUUUUCUUUUUCUUUCUUCUCUUUCUUUCUUUUCUUUUUUUGCUUUUCCUUUUUCUUCCUUUCUUCCUCCUUUUUCUCCUUUUUCUGUUUCUUCUUCUGUUUCCUUUCGUUCCUUUUCUUUUUUCUCUCUUUUUCCAUUUGUUUAUGUUCGUCACUUGUGUUUCUUUGAUUGUGUCGUUGAUUCCGAAAGAGGGGUAUGAAAGAAAACAAAUAAGGCUCAAAGAGGGUGAUAAAAAGGUAAAGUGUUUAGAUAGCAGAACAAAAUACCUUCGUCAUCUCAAACUUCAAAAUAUGCCAAAUACAAACAAGUGCAAUCAGAAUAAAGAAACCAUACACAUCAUCUCUUGACCGUAUCGGAAUUGACGGCCAUUUCCACACAAUUUUUUCUACAUCCGUCAAAUAUAAUGUGCCAUUAGGCAACACUCUUACUCUUAUUAGCACGACCGGCCCCCUGUAAAUUUGGCCAACUUGCUUUUACGGGGAUUGUUUAUGUUCUAUUUGACCCAGUUUCACAUGGUUAGGGCGCCAAACAAUCUCAAAACGUCCAAAUCUAUUCUUAUUUCCUCAAAUGCUCUCAUCGUCUUCAAAAUGGUUUCAUUACUUCCCGACAAAUGUAGCUUUUAAAGAUCAGACUGAGAAGUAUGCAUGCAUGUCAUGUCACUAGAACCAGCAAAAGACAAAACGAUAAGAUAGAAAAGAACUAAAGAAAGAGAAAUUAUUGGAAGUGACAAAAGAUCGUAAUUUGCAUUAGACAAACGAUGAGAUAGUUCGAAUAACAAAACAAACAAAACAAACUAGUGUAGAACCCUAGAAUGAACUGAAACAAACAUGGACAACACUAAACAAAUCACAACAACAAAAUAAGCUAGACAAAAAUGAAAGGAUAAGAGGGUUUGAUCACAAGAUAAUAUGCGGAUUACUACCCUGCAAAUAACCCGGACAACAGAAAUGACAACAAAAUGGACCACCAAAGCUCCUCCCCGGCUGACCUAGGAAUGGAGCGUCUUUCCAAUCACCAACAUUAGGAACUUUACAAACUUUCAUUACAUCAUCCUCAACAAGUUAUUUUUGGGUCUAUGAGGCUCUCAAAGAAUUCUCAUAUUCCUUUUCAAAACAAAUCAUGCCCACCAUGUCUACCUCAUUAUGCGCAUGCGAUGGAUUUUUUCCUGGUGUCCGGUGCAUCCAGAUUUUGUACGAUGAUGUUACCUGCGUUAAUAAGCUCUUGAACUUCUUUCUUCAGCUUCCAGCACUUUUCCAUGUCAUGCCCCGGAGCAUCUAAGCAAUAUGCACACUUUAGAGAAACAUCACAUUUUAAAGGGUUUGGCAUUUUUAUUUGAAUCGGCUUUAGCAUGCCUACUUGCUUCAACUUCUGGAACAAACUGACAUAUGAUUCUCCAAUACGGGUGAAAGCCUUUUCUCAUUUCAGCAACCUCUCGUUCCUAAACGCCUGAUCUGGCCUAAAAUCUGACUUAGGGAGUUUCUGGUCUACUCGCGUGGGGUGGAUAGGCAUUUUGUGGAGCUGGGUACUUGGCAAGUGAAGUAUGUAUAUGGGAGUACCGUGGAGAGAAGUAACAUUGGGGAGCGCCAUCCAGUGCAUGAGGAUAUUCAUGGGGUACUAUGUCGAGGUUGGAAAUGUUGAUCAGGAGAGCCCUUUGGAUCAUCUUUUCUGUUUCUCUCUCCUUUCCGAGCUUAUCGCGAUGUCCUGAAUGUCUUUUGAGCAACUCAUGAUUUUUCCCGACUUGAUUCCCUUUUCCACUAGCUCCCCCAUUUUUAACACAUCAUCGAAAGGUCUGCCCACGGACGGGAUAAAAUGAUUGAAGUAGGUGGGCCCCUAGGCCUGUAUGAAAUUUUCAACCAUCUCUUCUUCAUCAAUCAGGGUAUUGAUUCGAGCAGCUUGCUCCCUCCAUCUGAGCCCAAACUCUCUAAUGCUUUCCCAUGGCUUCUUUUCCAUUCUAGAUAGGGAGGAAUGGCCCACGGAUGGUUCUUUCAGCUUCCUGAAUUCCCUGUUUGUCCCUUCUCUUUCUGUGAACCUUCCAUUUUCAAAACGAGGCUUAUCUUGUGGGCAUUGUUCGUCCAAGUUGGGACCCUUAUGAGUGACCUAGGAGGGGUAAUAUUGGGCAUCACGAGCUCUGGUUAAGUGUUCUUUGUCGAGCAUAGUGGAUGUGACCGGAAGGCACCUUUGGGAAAAGAUAGUUGGAUGAUGAGUGAUGAAGCUACUAGAGUGGUUCGGAAAACUGUUAUAAGCGGGUAGAGAUGGGAAUAUGGAGGAUCAUCCGACAUUGUGUUCGGUAUUUGUGUAAGGACAGAAUCCAGGAAGCUAGCGGUGGCGGGGGUGGUGCUUUCCAAACAUCCACGCCCGAUACAUGUCUCCCACAUGCUAUCUCAGCAUUUUCACCUCUUCCACCAACCCGUUGACCUAUUCAACCGGCUGUUUUUAGGCAUUGGUACCAACUCACUCAGUUCUGUUAUUCUCCGCCAUUGUCUUUCGCCUUUGUGCUGCAAAGGAGAGUUAUCUUAAAACGACAAACCAACCACCUUUCUGAAAUGACAUGCCGAAAUGAAACCAUCAUGUUAGCGUUAGGGCAUUUAACUCAUUGAUAAUCUCACAUUUGGGGAAUGCAUGCACCUAAGCAGUUGACAAUCCCUAUUAUGCAUUUGCUAUCGCAUGCAUCAUCCCGGCCUUUUCUCGUUUUUGAUUGCAAACUCUCCUAUUUUCCUUUCUCUCUUUUUCUUUCUUUCUUCUCUUGUUUUCUUUCUUUCUUCUCUCAUUUUCUCCAUUUAUUUCUUUCUUUUCUUGGUUGUCCAUUUUUUUCUUUCCACUUUUGGUUUUUGCCUUAUUUUCUUUCUUCUAUCUUUUCCUUGUCUUUCCGUUCUUUUUCUUUUUCUCUUUUUUAUUUGGUUAUGAUCGAAUUCUAUGUCGAUUGCCAACGUAUCAUGGCCCCGCAUGAAUCAGACCGAGCGUAGUUCUUGCAAAUAAAAGAUAAACAACAAUAAAAUAUUUUUGAAAUUUUUCGAUUAUCAUGAUAAAAACAAAACCUACAAACUUAACGAUGAAGUACAAACUCGAAAAUCAAACGACCCAUACACCCUAAUCAAAAUAAAUACAAACCCAAAACAAAAUGACAAAUUCCUUCCUCUGUAUGCCAAUUUUGAACAAAUGGUUAUUUUUGCAAACGUGACCCAUUCUUAAUUUCACAUGAAUUUUGAGGCCGAGGAGGACAAUUUUAACAUAUCACAAACUUGACUGUUCUUUUACGAAAACAACCUUUCGACAGCUGAAAGAUACUCUAAGGCUAUAUCGACAAGAACAGUUUUAAGACACUACCGAAGCUGGCUCGCCUUAUUUUGACUAAAAAUUCAAAUGGCAUUCACUGGCCCACUAGCACUUUUCUUGUUUUUUUAAAUUAAAAUAAAAGACCCGAUUUUGCAAACACGACCUUUCAGCACCUUGGGGACGAAGAUUUUAAGGUUGCAUUUAGCUAAUCGGCCAAAACCUUGAAAGAUGACCAAAGGUGGCUAUUCUCGCAAAUGCAACCUUCCGGUGCCCUUUUAGGGACAUUCGGCUAUUUCUGAUAAAAAUGGCUUCACCUUUCUAUUCAUGCCAAAAUUUAGAACUUAGAUAUUUUUUGGCUAUUUUUGCAAAGGCGAGGUUGGGCCCGAUGAAGGUUGCCUAUGUAUCUGACAUCCGGUGAGAACCAAACCUGCGUAGUUCGGACAAAUUAACCGAACUAUUUUAAAACUAAACUCUUUUCCUUUUAUCUUUUUCAUGGCAUGACAAACUAUUUUUCCUUUUCCAUUUUUUUGAAAACAAGACAAACUAAAGACUCUUUUUUUUUUCUUUUUCAUUUUCAACAAACAAUAAACAACCUAUUUUUCCCAAACUAAAAUAAAACUCUUUUUCCAUUUUCUCAAAGUUUCUGCAGAGUUUCGACAGUAUUUUGGCAUUGAUUCUUCUAAAACUAAGCAAUUAACUCUCUACACUGCUAUUUCUCUCUUUUUCUCUUUUUCUCAAUUUGACAGUAUUCUUGAUAUUCAAAAGUCAGUCAGCGUGCAGGUCCGAGACAAAUAAAUGCACGGAAAACAAGUAGGAUGCAUUAGGGUGAUCUUUUCAUUUCAGGUUGCUAGUCCUAGACGAACCCAACCCCUGUGUUGAGUCCCCUAAAUCAAUUGCAACAUGAUGCAAAUAAGCGUUCCUACUAGGGAUCCGGCAUGAAGUCACGUUAUUCUAGGUUCAAAACCUGGGUAUGUGUUAUAGAUUGUGUACCCGAGGGGACAACUCGAGUUGAGAAAGGGGCAACUUACCGAGAACCAAAAGGCCAUCCAGCUUCAUAACUUGUCUAGCCUCUUUCUUAUUACUGGAUAUGACACUAACAGAAUAGAGAGUCUUAACCAGUAAGCACAUCCCCGGAGGUGAGAAGAGAAGGGUGUCAAACAGUUUAUAAACAAUUCAGAUAAUAUCAAAGCGGUAACAUUUAGCGCAUUCAGCACAAAACAUGUAAGAAAAUCAGAUAUAACCAAAUACAAUAAUUUAUCUAAUCUCGAAUUCUGAACCCUGAAAAAACUAUUCUGGGUUCUUUUCCCCAGCAGAGUCGCCAGAGCUGUCAUACCUCAUUUUUACCACACCCUCAAGGGCGUAAAAGAGUUUUUCCAAUUAAAGGACAAUCGGAAAGGGAUUUAAUUAUUAAAGUUCAUAGUCGCCACUUGGGAGAUUAAUAGUGUCCCAAGUCACAGAGUAAAUCCCGAACCGAGGAAAAUUAUGACUCUGUUAACAGUACGCGAAUCAGAAAUCCGAGUAAGGAAUUAUAUUAACCCUGAAGAAGGUGUUAGGCAUUUCCGGAUUCCGUGGUUCUAGCAAGGUCCCUUAACUGUUGUAUUUGAUUUUAUCUAAUUUUUAAAACAUGUUCUAUCUUAUGCGCUUUUAGUUAUAAACUGCUUUUAUAUUUAUUUUUAAUGGGAAUUGCAACAUCGUAAAAAUACAUCUCGAACCACGUCACAUCAAUGCGUCCGUGGUUGUCGACACAUUUCGACUUUAUUGAGAUUUGGAUUUGGGUCGCAUCAAUACGCACCCAAAUUUAAGAAUGUAAUUUUAUUAAAAUCGUACUUAAAGAGUCUAACAUAUUAUGCUUUUGGGGAAGGUCGUGAAAUUCGCUAAACGGCUCUCCCGAAUUCUAAGUAUUUUUAGUAUAAAUAUUUAUUAAGGGCCCCAUAAUUUAUUUGUUUUGUUCGGCAAGACUUGUCUCAUUUUUAUUUUUUUAAGCAAAUCCUAAAGAGACUAUGAUUUUCUAUAUUCUUUGUCUGUAAUAAAAUCAAAAUCCAUAUUAAUGGACUGACGAGUGGUUUAUUAGCAAAAGUAACAAAUGGCCCUCAAUAUCAUCUCCUAGGAAAAAAAACUAUUUGGGCCCAAUGCAGGCACAAGGCAAGCCCAGACGGACGCCAGUGCCUCAACUCAACAUCGAACCCCCACAAAGGAGACACAAAUAUGCAAUUACGGGAAAUAUUCUAGGCAGCUAUGCCAUAUCGAGCUCAUAUAACUUAUAACAAGCCAUAAUCCUAAAUUAAUUGGGCAAUUUGAUGGUACUGCACCCUUAAACAAUUUACUAAUCAAUGCAAUGACUAAUCUUUGAUUUUAAAAACAUACUGCAAAAUAGGAAAUUAAAUUACGAAAUGGCUAAAAGUCCCAACAGUCAAAUUAAUAGUGCAUAUUAAGAUCAACUAACCAUUGGCCUACAAUUAUUAGCUUCAUUUCGAAAAGAAAAAUAAAUGCUAAACCAAACUGAUAUCGACUAUAUGAGAAGCUAUUGCUAGAUGAUCAACAGUUUGCACAACUCAAUAGGCCGAGUGAGUACACAUAGAGAUAUGCUAGAACUCUGCAUUAUAAUAUCAACACAAGCUAAGCCAAACUAAAUUGCUACACACAUGGAUUACAUCUAAUUAAUCUAACAUUAUACUACUUAACAAUCCAGUCCAGAAUUAUUACAGAGUUUAAUCACAAUAAACAAGCAAAUGUGGCAGGGCCAUUAAAAUCACAAAGCCACAGUGCCAAAUUAUCCUUAAUUUCAUUUCAUAUCUCAACAGAUGAAGCUACAUCAAUGGAGUCUCGAGAUGUGUACCUGAAUGUCGAAAUACAAGAAGAAUAAGAAGAAGAUCAGCUAUAAUAGCAGAUUCCAGCAGAAUAAUUUGCUAACAGCAGGAAACACAGCAAGUUCAACCCAGAAACGAGUUCAACAAUCGAAGGAUAAUUCCAAACCAAACAGAAGCCAACAAAACAGUCGCAAUUAGCUUGAACAAAACCCAAGUGACUUCGAAUUCAAACCCAGAAAUACCUCUGAAACCUCAUCAACUAAAACAAACCAAAAUAGCUUGAAUACAUUCAAAAAACAGCUUGAAAUUGAACUCAAGAUCAGCUAUAAUAGCAGAUUCCAGCGGAAUAAUUUGCUAACAGCAGGAAACACAGCAAGUUCAACCCAGAAACGAGUUCAACAAUCGAAGGAUAAUUCCAAACCAAACAGAAGCCAACAAAACAGUCGCAAUUAGCUUGAACAAAACCCAAGUGACUUCGAAUUCAAACCCAGAAAUACCUCUGAAACCUCAUCAACUAAAACAAACCAAAAUAGCUUGAAUACAUUCAAAAAACAGCUUGAAAUUGAACUCAAGGUCACCAAGAACUCAGAUUUUUAACUGACAGUGCAGAAAUUCCAAUGUAAUAGUGUAUUUUUGUAGUUUUUUUGUAUUGUUUCUAUUUUUUUUGGUUUCUGAAGAUUUGGAGUUUUGAAAUUCAAAUUUCAGCUGGGAAGACUUAGAGAAUACUCUAGAGGAAUUUUCAGAUCUGUGUGCUUGAAGGGAGUUUUGGGGAGGGAAUUUUGGGCUCCCAAAACUUGUUCAUUAAGGCAUUGGUGUUGCCCUUUUAUAGGCAAAGAUGAGGGCAACCCUCAAUUUUCUGUUUACAAAUCAGUCCCUUAUUUAUUUUCACAAUAGUCCUCUACUUAAUGACCUGCUUCUCAAGUAAGUGCACCUAUUUUCUGAAUUUAGAGUAAAAGUUAUAUUCUAGAAGGUUCUAGUGAAUUCCAAUCAGUUUUAAAAGAUUCCCUUAUCCCUGAAUUGCCCCACUUACUCCUACUUUAUUCAAAGAUUUACUAAACUAAUCCAAAUGAAUUCAGCCUCCUUUUACCCAAGUUAAGCCUAUCCACUGUAGCCAACUUCAUCAGAUUAACAACUAAGUGAACUGAGCAUUACCGAAUGUCCAAACUAACUAAACCGAAUGAUCUACAACCAAUUGAUAACAACCAAAAGGGGUACUAAGAUCAGAUUUAAGUUUAAAUAAAUUCAAACAAGAUUGACUAAAGCAGAACAAACAAGAAAAAUAAUCUAGUAUUCAAACUAUUAGAUUCCCAAAUCUACAAACGACUCUAACCUACGAAUUGC